AGCAGCGAUCUUGAAGUUUGUCUUCUUGGCAGUGUUGCCCCUUGUGUGCUCUAUGGAAGCAAUGCUGAGAGACUGGGAUCUAGUCCUGGAACCUUUGCCAAUCAUUGCUUGCCCUACACUGGUCUAUACUUGAUUGGUAAUGCAUUUUUUGGUUGGAACUGCCUUGCACCAUGGUUCUCAUAUCCUAGCCGUACAGCUAUUCG
rnacentral:misc_RNA from 1 species